UACGAGGGUGCAAGCGUUGCUCGGAAUUACUGGGCGUAAAGGGAGCGUAGGCGGGUUAUCAAGUUGGGGUGAAAGCCCGGGGCUCAACCUCGGAAUUGCCUUCAAACUGAUAACCUGGAGUAUGGAAGAGGUAAGUGGAACUCCGAGUGUAGAGGUGAAAUUCGUAGAUAUUCGGAAGAACACCAGUGGCGAAGGCGACUUACUGGUCCAUUACUGACGCUGAGGCUCGAAAGCGUGGGGAGCAAACAGG
rnacentral:rRNA from 1 species